rnacentral:rRNA from 1 species
GACGAACGCUGGCGGCGUGCUUAACACAUGCAAGUCGAGCGGUAAGGCCCUUUCGGGGGUACACGAGCGGCGAACGGGUGAGUAACACGUGGGUGACCUGCCCUCAGCUCUGGGAUAAGCCUGGGAAACCGGGUCUAAUACCGGAUAUGACUCCAUGACGCAUGUUGGUGGGGUGGAAAGCCUUGUGCGGCUGAGGAUGGGCCCGCGGCCUAUCAGCUUGUUGGUGGGGUGAUGGCCUACCAAGGCGACGACGGGUAGCCGGCCUGAGAGGGCGACCGGCCACACUGGGACUGAGACACGGCCCAGACUCCUACGGGAGGCAGCAGGUGGGGAAUCUUGCGCAAUGGGCGAAAGCCUGACGCAGCGACGCCGCGUGA